rnacentral:rRNA from 1 species
AGCGUUGUUCGGAAUUACUGGGCGUAAAGCGCGCGCAGGCGGUUCUUCAAGUCAGUGGUGAAAGCCCGGAGCUCAACUCCGGAACUGCCAUUGAAACUGUAGAACUUGAGGACGAGAGAGGUGAGUGGAAUUCCCAGUGUAG